GCGCCACUAGCUCAAUUGGAUAGAGUCGCGCACUACGAAUGCGAAGGUUAGGGGUUCGAGUCCCUUGUGGCGCGCCA
rnacentral:tRNA from 1 species